AACGAACGCUGGCGGCAUGCCUAACACAUGCAAGUCGAACGAACCCUUCGGGGUGAGUGGCGCACGGGUGCGUAACACGUGGGAACCUGCCCUUAGGUUCGGAAUAACAGGUAGAAAUGACUGCUAAUACCGGAUAAUGUCUUCGGACCAAAGAUUUAUCGCCUUUGGAUGGGCCCGCGUGAGAUGAGCUAGUUGGUGAGGUAAAGGCUAACCAAGGAGACGAUCCUUAGCUGGUCUUAGAGGAUGAUCAGUCACACUUGUACUGAGACACGGCCCAGACUCCUACGGGAGGCAGCAGUGGGGAAUAUUGGACAAUGGGCGAACGCCUGAUCCAGCAAUGCCGCGUGAGUGAUGAAGGCCUUAGGGUUGUAAAGCUCUUUUACCUGGGAUGAUAAUGACAGUACCAGGAGAAUAAGCCCCGGCUAACUCCGUGCCAGCCGCCGCCGUAA
rnacentral:rRNA from 1 species